AGGAAAAUUUUCCAAUUACAACCGAAUAUAGGUUACAUUUUGCGAAUUACAACCUUAAACUUUUUGUUUUGUGAAUUACAACCUCAAACUUAAUCCCGUACUUUAAAUUACAACAACAACAACAACAACAACAACAACAACAACAACAACAACAAAGCCUUAGUCCCAACAUGAUUUGGGGUCUGCUAACAUGAAUCGUCGUAGGAGAUCGUCAAAAAAACAAGGAAGAGAAUUACAACCCAAAGUCAUAUUCCGACGAAAAUGAUCAGAUUAUGAUGUCAUUAUUAUAUUUACCUAAUUAAUAAUUCUAAAAGAACCAUAAUAAAAAAAAAAUAAAAAAAAAUAAAAAAAAAUCCAUUCACUAUCAUUUCGAUUACAAUUUUUUCCUACCAUUAACUUCUGCACUCCUCUCCCUCCCCAAAAAAUCAUCUUUUCAACUUCAAAGCUUCAAUGCUAACAUUUCCAUAAAUACUCCCUCGAUGCUCUUUCAGUGUGAUAUAUCUCUCUAUAUAUUUUUUCAACAUAAGAGGACACCAUUACAGGUUGAAGGCUGGAAGCUUCAACAAUGAUGACAUAGGAGAGAAAAGGCAUCACUAUCGCUAUUUGAGGGGUGUCAUUGAUGUUUGUACGUAGAAGAUUAACAAAUACAUAGAGAAUAAAGAAGAGAAAAUUAUAGGGUUGUAAUUAGGGAGAAUGCCGUGAAAGUACAAUGUAUGUUGGGGAUUAUUUUAUUUUUUAAUUUCUGAUUAUGGUUUUUUUAUAUUUUUGAAAUUAUUAAUUAGGUUUAAAAUAUAAUAAUGACAUCAUAAUUAAUCCGAUAGUUUUUGCCGGAAUAUGAUCUCAGGUUAUAAUUUAAAGUACGAGAUUAAGUUUGAGGUUGUAAUUCGCAAAACUGAAAGUUUAAGGUUGUAAUUCGCAAAGUGUAAAUUUUUUUGGAUUGUAAGUGGCAAAUUUUCCUAUUAAUAAA